rnacentral:ncRNA from 1 species
UGCGUCGGUGGGACGGGAGGCCUUUCCCAAGAAACGGGAGACUGAAAGAACCCCCACCAAACCCCACCCCUCCCGCCCGCCCGCCGAGUGCCCUCACCCACGCGGGUGAACAUCACCAACUCAGCUGGAUUUCGGGCUGGUUGCCUGCCCUACGCUCGGCGCAACACCCGCAGACAUGCGACGGCCCUCGCCGGGACUGGCAUCCCAAUGCGAGGGCCUGACCACCGAGGAAGGUCUCAGGCUUCCUG